GACGAACGCUGGCGGCGUGCCUAAUACAUGCAAGUAGAACGCUGAAGGAGGAGCUUGCUUCUCUGGAUGAGUUGCGAACGGGUGAGUAACGCGUAGGUAACCUGCCCGGUAGCGGGGGAUAACUAUUGGAAACGAUAGCUAAUACCGCAUAACAGUAGAUGUUGCAUGACAUUUGCUUAAAAGGUGCAAUUGCAUCACUACCAGAUGGACCUGCGUUGUAUUAGCUAGUUGGUGGGGUAACGGCUCACCAAGGCGACGAUACAUAGCCGACCUGAGAGGGUGAUCGGCCACACUGGGACUGAGACACGGCCCAGACUCCUACGGGAGGCAGCAGUAGGGAAUCUUCGGCAAUGGACGAAAGUCUGACCGAGCAACGCCGCGUGAGUGAAGAAGGUUUUCGGAUCGUAAAGCUCUGUUGUAAGAGAAGAACGAGUGUGAGAGUGGAAAGUUCACACUGUGACGGUAUCUACCAGAAA
rnacentral:rRNA from 1 species